UUAAUUGAAGAGUUUGAUCAUGGCUCAGAUUGAACGCUGGCGGCAGGCCUAACACAUGCAAGUCGAGCGGCAGCACAGAGGAACUUGUUCCUUGGGUGGCGAGCGGCGGACGGGUGAGUAAUGCCUGGGAAAUUGCCCGGUAGAGGGGGAUAACCAUUGGAAACGAUGGCUAAUACCGCAUAACCUCGCAAGAGCAAAGCAGGGGACCUUCGGGCCUUGCGCUACCGG
rnacentral:rRNA from 1 species